UAAGGAAUAUUGGUCAAUGGACGAAAGUCUGAACCAGCCAUGCCGCGUGGAGGAUGAAGGUCCUCUGGAUUGUAAACUUCUUUUAUCUGGGACGAAAAAAGGUCUUUCUAGAUCGUCUGACGGUACCAGAUGAAUAAGCACCGGCUAACUCCGUGCCAGCAGCCGCGGUAAUACGGAGGGUGCAAGCGUUAUCCGGAUUCACUGGGUUUAAAGGGUGCGUAGGUGGGUUGGUAAGUCAGUGGUGAAAUCUUCGAGCUUAACUCGGAAACUGCCAUUGAUACUAUCAGUCUUGAAUAUUGUGGAGGUUAGCGGAAUAUGUCAUGUAGCGGUGAAAUGCUUAGAUAUGACAUAGAACACCAAUUGCGAAGGCAGCUGGCUACACAUAUAUUGACACUGAGGCACGAAAGCGUGGGGAUCAAACAGGAUUAGAUACCCUGGUAGUCCACGCCCUAAACUAUGGAUACUCGACAUACGCGAUACACUGUGUGUGUCUGAGCGAAAGCAUUAAGUAUCCCCACCUGGGGAAGUACGAUCGCAAGAUUGAAACUCAAAUGAAUUGACGGGGUCAUAGCUGUUUCCUG
rnacentral:rRNA from 1 species